GAGGGUACAGCUCAGUGGCAGAGCACUUGCUUAGCAUGCAUGAAGUCCUGGGUUCAAUCCCCAGUAACCUCC
rnacentral:tRNA from 1 species